rfam:Dorea sp. 5-2 genomic scaffold acPFE-supercont1.18, whole genome shotgun sequence.
AUAAUGGUACUCCCGUCUUGAAUGAUUAUAGCAUUAGGCGGCUCUGUCAGACCGACAGUUGGGGUGGAAUUCCCGUGG